GCGGACUGCUGCUAAGAGACAAACUUUGUAAUGGCUUCUUCAAAGGUUCUCGCUAUGCUCUUCCUUAUUGUGACCGCAAUGAUUCUAACUGAGCGCAUGGUGGCAGUGGCCGAGUCCGCUAGUACAGGAAGUGGAUCUGGCGCGAGCGGAGGGGCGGGAGGCAGCAGUGGCGCUGCUGGCGCUCCCGCCGCUGCUCCCGCUCCAGCCGCUGCUCCCGCUGCUCCCGCUGCUCCCGCCGCUGCUGCCGCUGCUGCCGCUGCCCCCGCCGCUGCGUAGUGGAACCUUAAAGUGGCAACCGUAUUUAGUGCACCUUUGACCUCCAUGGAGAGCCUGAAGACCGCCAAUGAGGGUGAAUGUGCCUACCUAAACAUAAAAAGCAGUCACUGGAGAAAAAGAUCACCGCAGUUAUCAAAUUGCCUUCCCCUUGCAUCGAAUUGAAUCACAGACAAGACAUACCACAACAUUUUCGAACUUGUUUUAUUAAAUUUCUGCAGUGCAAAGCGCAAACAUUUUUUGUGAAUAAAUAAUGGUAAUAAUUCUGAAA